UGUUUGAUUGGUUAGUUCGGAACUGGGAGGAAGCUCAAUCAGUUCGCUCAACAUCAUAAUUAAAGCCCUUGCAGAGUAUAUUCACAUAUCCACCCUAAAUUGGAUUUCUUUGUUGUUUGAGUGUAAAUGUUGGUUGGGUUUUGGUAAUCUUGAUAUUGAACUGGUUGGUUGUGUGUGCAAUGUGCAAUAUGCAGUGAAGUGAGCCUGCGCAAUCAAAGACUGCAUUUGGUUUACAAUGGAGUUGAGAUUGGUGGCGGAAGUCUGAGAAUUUAUAAACGUGAGGUGCAGCAAAAGGUUUUGGAAAUUGUUGGCAUCUCCAAAUGAGAAUUUAUAAAUGGAAGUUGUUGUCGACUUUAAUGUCCCAAGCUGUGCAGUACUUCUACUAGAUUAAAGCUUCACAUACUUUGGUAGAAGCUUUAAAAAUGGCCCAGAGUCUUCACUUUACAGAAGAGGUUCGAUCUACAAAAUGUCAUCUAGGUGAUUUUAAGGUUAAGAUAGAGUUUGACGACCUGAAGAAUAAGGCCCUUCAUACGUGCAGUUGCUUGAGUUCCCUUGUUAGUCAAAUUGAGAGGUAAAGCAUCUGUUCCUCCUCAAUAUGAUGCAAUGUGACAAAAAGCACCAUGAUAUGUACUGCCUUGUGUUAUAUGAAUAGCUUAAGUUUCCUUCUCAAGCUAUUCUAUAUGGAUGUUGGGUUGUUAAGAGGUAGAGAAACAGCAAGUGCAGUAUAACGACUUGUUGUAGAAUAAUCAUAAGGAGUUAUCUAGGAAAAUGAUAAUCCAAUUAGUUUUUCACUUUGUUAUUUCUUAGGCUGAUAUUGCUGAUAAGGUGUAUCAUCGGGGUUGCAUUUUCUUUGUAGGAUCAACUUGCAAAAGAACAGAGCAAAGCAGAGGCAUUAUUAGCUAUUGUAUAUGGAGAAGUUUAGAAGACUUCAAUCUUGUUCUUUUCUUUUGCUGUUGUAUAUGGAGAAGUUUAGGCCAUACGUCCCCUUCUCCCUACUCUUUGUACUCUUUUUAUCAAUAGUAUUAAUGAGAAUUU